rnacentral:rRNA from 1 species
UACGUAGGGGGCAAGCGUUGUCCGGAAUCAUUGGGCGUAAAGCGCGCGUAGGCGGCCCUGUAAGUCCGCUGUAAAAGUCAAAGGCUCAACCUUUGAAAGCCGGUGGAUACUGCAGGGCUAGAGUCCGGAAGAGGAGAGUGGAAUUCCUGGUGUAGCGGUGAAAUGCGCAGAUAUCAGGAAGAACACCAAUGGCGAAGGCAGCUCUCUGGGACGGUACUGACGCUGAGACGCGAAAGCGUGGGGAGCGAACAGG